rnacentral:lncRNA from 1 species
CCCCUCUGCUGCAGGUCUGCUGGAGUUUGCUGGAGGUCCACUCCAGACCCUGUUUGUCUGUGUAUCACCAGCGGAGACUGCAGAACAGCAAAGGUUGCUGCCUGCUCCUUCCUCUGAAAGCUUCAUCCCAGAGGUACAACUAAGACCUCUGGAUAUUAUAAAACAAACAGAGCUAACCCACCUCAGAAGAAUGUCUAACAGAAUUUCUCUAAUCAGAAAGGCAACGAUAAAAGAAGACACCUUGGACCAUCAGGAAGAAAGAGCAUGGGACGCUUGUCAUUACAUUGAGCCCAGCUGAAUAAUCUACGCUGAGCUGCCCAUCUCAAGAUUCUUAGUUUAACCAUAUCCACAAAGUUCCUUUUGCCAUGUAAGGUAACAUAUCUAAAGAUUCUAGAGAUUAAGAUGUGGACAUAUUUGAGGGGGCAUUAUUCUGCUUAUCACACCAGCAUUACAUGUUUGGAGCUAAACUGUGAAGAGUUGGUGUGUAUAAGAGGCCGGAAACACAAAUCCUUCAAAACACAUCUCAGGAUUAUAGUUUAGCUAAAAUUACAACACAUUAUGCAGUAACAUUCCUGCAUAUCUUGACUUGGGGAUGUAAUUCAAGGAAUUGAAGCCUUUGCCCUGGCAGAGCAUCAAGGUCAUGGGAUGCCAAGCACUGGUGAGGACUGGAGAUCACAAGAACCAUCUUCAUUGCUGGUGGAGUGGGAAUCAAUUCAUUUGGAGACACAAGUUGGCAAUUAAAAAAAGUGUGAAGAUGCAUAUUUUAGCCUGCUCCAGCCGCCAUAGCAGAAUACCAUAGGCUGGGUGUCUCAAACAACAGAAAAUAUUUUUUUCAUAGUUAAAUAGUUAAUUUCUAGAGGUUGGAAGUUGAAGAUCAAGGUUCCAGUGGGGUUUGGUUUCUGGUGAGGGCCUUCUUUCUGGCUUGGAAGUGGCCAUUUUGUCCUUAUAUGGCCUUUUUUCUGAGUGUACUCAGAGAGAGAGAACAUGCAUGGUAUCUGAUGUCUUCUCUUAUAAAGACACUAGUCUUUGGUAGGGUUCCACUGUUAUGACCAAAUCAUUUUAUCUUAAUUACCUCCUUACAGGUUCUAUCUCCAAAUACAGUCAUGUUGGGGGUUAAGGAUUCAAUAUAUGACAUGAAGGGGAACACAUAAUUUGGUCCACAGCAAUCCACAUACACUAAGACCCAGAAGUUCUAGAAACAUUUCCUAGAGAAAUUCUUGUGCACGUACACAAAGAGAUGUGUAGAAAGAAUAUUCACUGUUGCAUUAUUUAUAAUAGCAACAUGAAAAAAAUUUAGAUAACCACCAUUAGGAAAUGGAGAAAGAAAUUGUAAAAUCAUCAAACAAUAAAGUAAUACACAGUAGUUAAAAGAGCAAACAAGAACCACAUAUUGUGGCUCUGUCAGCAUGAAUAAAUCUUAGAAAUAAAAUUUGAGUAUGAAAAUCAAACUACAGAAAGUAUACACAGAACAUGAUACCAUUAAAGUGAGAAAGUAACUAAGCAGUAGGUCUUAGUUUCUUAUGGAUAUACUCAUAUGAAUGAAACAUAUGUUAAAAAUAUGACAAUAUGGAUGGAAAGGAUGAACCUCAAUUCAGGCUAGUGGCUGAUUUAGAGAAGGAGGAAGGGCAGUAACAGGAUAGGUGACUUUAAUUUUGUCUGUAAUAUUUUAUUCUCAAGUUAAAAGGAUCUGAGGUAAAUAUGGCAAAGUAAUAACAUCUACUAAAGGGAUAGUGGGUACAUGGUAAUUUGAUAUAUAAUUUCUGUUCCUUGUGUUUGCAGUUUUCAUAAUGAACACCAAAUAAGCAAACAAAUGUUUAAAAGGCAAAAUGUCCCUGAGAGUUAGAGAGAUCUAGGUCCCAACUGAGUUCCCAUUAUUCACUAGAUAUAGGUCCUUGGGCAAGUUACCUAACCUCCUUAAGUUGCUCCUAUUUAUGUAUUUUCAUCUAUACCUACCUCUUGGGAAUAUUGUGAAAUUCAACAGCGCUCAUGUAAAGCAUGUGGCACCCAGCAUACAAAACAAUGCUAGUUCCCUUUCUUACAUCAAGUACUGUUUAGUAACAUUGAUUUAAACUCCAUGUCUUUGUCUAAACUAAAAGAAAGCUCUGAGUGGUUGUAAUGAGACAGAAUAAUUUUCCUGUUUCCCUUAUUGUGACCUUUCUUUCUUUUUUUUUUAACCCCUACCUUGUCUCAGGUAUUUAAAUGUGUGUGUGCAUGCACAAACACAUAAGCAGUACUUCACAAGUGCUUUAGAGCAGAGGCUAAACUUUUGGAGGUUGGGAAAAUGGUCUCUUUAAUGUCAUGUAAGUGUGAAGCAUCUUUUCACUUACAGGCUUAAAAGAACUAUAUUGUAGCAAAACUAGAAAUCAGUUAAAGUUUUUGUGUUGAGACAGUACUUGCUGAUUGAAUUCUCAUGGUGUAUGUGUUCUUUUUCUUUUUCUUUCUUUCUUUUUUUGAGCUGGAGUCUUGCUAUGUUGCCCAGGCUGAUCUCAAACUCCUGAACUCAGUCAAUGCUGCUUCAGCUUCCUGAGUAGCUUAUUACAGCAGAAGAACCCUUUAUUUGGUCAAAGUCCAACUCAGAAAGUCAAUAUCUAGAGUGGAUAUAUGUGGGGAACUGCUCUGAUUGAAGCAGAGUGAGGGCCUGGACCCUAAAAUUCAGCUGUUUCCCCUCUUCUCCCAGAACUCAAGAAGCACAGUUUGAAAACCACAGAAUGAGUGGAAUGCAAGCCUCUGCUUCUUCAGGUGAGGAUUCAGACCAGGAUACAGAACCAAUCAGAGGCCUGUCAGUCCAGAAGUCCUUCCAGAACACCAGCAGUCCUGCAUUCAUCCAUGUGCUGACCACAGUGCCCACUAGAGCUCCCCGUGCAGUCAGAGAUUCACUGAAGCCUCUGUCAGACGUCAUCAUGAAAUGUACCCUGAAAAGACUCUUGCACAGGACACCCUGCUGGCAACACGUGGGGUGAAGGGUGCAGAGGUUGCCUUCUCCAGGGAAUUAUAUUCUAAGAUGUACAUUUCCAUCUUGGCAAGCUCAGAGACAAACACCCAGGUACUGUGCUCUGAAGCAGUUGAAUUAGUAAACUAAGAGGAAUAACAUCUUGGGGAGCAUUAGUGCUGGUGCUCUUUGUGCAGUGGGACAUGGAAAGUGUGAGCGGCAGGACAGAUCCUCAGCAGGGUUGAGAAGGAGCUACCUGGACUUCUGCAUGUAUGGGAGUUUUAGUAACUUAAUAGCUCAGCUUUGCCUUGCGAAAAUUCUAUGUAUCUGCACCCAGAUCUUUCAGGUCUAGAAACAGAUAGAUAUAAAACAUACAAAGUAUAUAUGUACACAUUAUAUAUAUAUAUGUAUUAUAUAUAAAGUAUAUACACA